rnacentral:lncRNA from 1 species
GUUUGAGGGAAAACGUGGAAGAUAUCAUGGAUAUUUAUCCAUAUGUCUGUUGUUUCCUCAUAAAUAAUUAAAGGUGUAACAGAAUCUGGUACAGCAUCGAUAAGUUUCUGUCUUUCCAUUGCAUCAUCUUCUACUGGGAUGAAUAAUGCAGGGGGAAUCAAGACUAUCUGCAGUCGAGUCUGGGAACGAUCCAGUAAGAUGGACCAGACGUAUUUUCCUUCU